UACGUAGGGACCGAGCGUUGUCCGGAAUCAUUGGGCGUAAAGCGCGUGUAGGCGGUUCAGUAAGUCUGCUGUGAAAGUCCAGGGCUCAACCCUGGGAUGCCGGUGGAUACUGCUGGACUAGAGUGCGGAAGAGGCGAGUGGAAUUCCCGGUGUAGCGGUGAAAUGCGCGGAUAUCGGGAGGAACACCAAUUGCGAAGGCAGCUCGCUGGGACGUUACUGACGCUGAGACGCGAAAGCGUGGGGAGCAAACAGG
rnacentral:rRNA from 1 species